GCCUACAUAGACAUGCAUAAUUGCUAUUCUGUGAAUUGAUGUUUGUUUACUGUAUACUAAGCUUUGAUUACCAUUUUUUUAAAAGGUUUUUAGGUCCCUUUAUAAUAGCCAGUAUCAAACUUCAAAACAUCAUAAUUUUAUUUAGCCUACUUUUAUUAGGUGGAGUACAGAAUGGCUAACCCCCAUAGUUUUCAUUUCUGUUCCCAGACUUGAACCUGUAGAUUUCCCCUAAGCCCAUCAUGCUCAAGAGAAGUCAAAGCAGCUGGGUAUAAAACUGACCACACAAUACCAUCAUAUGUAGGGGUCACAGGAACAGAUAAACUGUACAUCCACUUCCUCUUUGGCUCCAUGAUCAGAAUGGGAAUUUUUUAAAUGUUGUGUUUAACAUUGAUUUUUUGUCCACAAACAACCUGGACAAUACAAUAAAAUUCAUCAAAGAAAACCAGCAAAAGUAAACAUUUAUUCUGAAUGGUACAAAUCUUAGAGAAAAUUAAAGUUCUACACACAGAACAGAAAUUUUUCUAAACAGUGGCUAACAGUAACAGUCUUCUAUAAAAGGUAUUGAAAUUGUUGUGAUUAAAAUGAUGUCAGAGAAAUGCACAUUUUUAAAAUUCUAGUCAAGUGAAAUAAAUAUUCUUCAUUCACCGCCAAACUAACCAUGUUAAUUUCUUUUAGUUAGGACCAGACAAAUGUUUCCAAUCGCAUACAAGUGUAAGUAUAGCGAUUGUUGCUAGUUUCAUGAAAAACAGCAACUGCUUUUCAUGUAGGAAAAA